rnacentral:tRNA from 1 species
GCUGGGAUGGUGGAAUUGGUAGACACGCGUGGUUUAGGACCACGUGCCUUCGGGCGUGGGAGUUCAAGUCUCCCUCCCAGCACCA